UCGGGCAUCGUCUAACGGCAGGACAGAGGAUUCUGAUUCCUCUAAUCGUGGUUCGAAUCCAUGUGCCCGAGCCA
rnacentral:tRNA from 1 species